rnacentral:rRNA from 1 species
CGUGAUAAGGGGACACCGAGUGCCAGCAUCAUAUGCUGGCUGUCCAGGUGUGCAAAAUACACCUGUUAGCAAGGGCCGGGCAAGACCGGUGCCAGCCGCCGCGGUAACACCGGCGGCCCGAGUGGUGAUCGUGAUUAUUGGGUCUAAAGGGUCCGUAGCCGGUUUGGUCAGUCCUCCGGGAAAUCUGACAGCUUAACUGUUAGGCUUUCGGAGGAUACUGCCAGACUUGGAACCGGGAGAGGUAAGAGGUACUACAGGGGUAGGAGUGAAAUCUUGUAAUCCCUGUGGGACCACCUGUGGCGAAGGCGUCUUACCAGAACGGGUUCGACGGUGAGGGACGAAAGCUGGGGGCACGAACCGGAUUAGAUACCCGGGUAGUCCCAGCCGUAAACGAUGCUCGCUAGGUGUCAGGCAUGGCGCGACCGUGUCUGGUGCCGCAGGGAAGCCGUGAAGCGAGCCACCUGGGAAGUACGGCCGCAAGGCUGAAACUUAAAGGAAUUGGCGGGGGAGCAC